rnacentral:rRNA from 1 species
GACAGAGGGUGCAAACGUUGUUCGGAAUUACUGGGCGUAAAGCGCGUGUAGGCGGCUUCGCAAGUCGGAUGUGAAAUCCCACGGCUCAACCGUGGAAGUGCAUUCGAAACUGCAAGGCUAGAGUUCUGGAGAGGAAGGUGGAAUGCUUGGUGUAGAGGUGAAAUUCGUAGAUAUCAAGCGGAACACCGGUGGCGAAAGGCGGCCUUCUGGACAGUAACUGACGCUGAGACGCGAAAAGCGUGGGGAGCAAACAGG